CCGUGAAGUUGGAGUCGCUAGUAAUCGCAGAUCAGCAACGCUGCGGUGAAUACGUUCCCGGGCCUUGUACACACCGCCCGUCACGUCAUGAAAGUCGGUAACACCCGAAGCCGGUGGCCUAACCCCUUGUGGGAGGGAGCCGUCGAAGGUGGGAUCGGCGAUUGGGACGAAGUCGUAACAAGGUAGCCGUACCGGAAGGUGCGGCUGGAUCACCUCCUUUCUAAGGAG
rnacentral:rRNA from 1 species